AGAAGAAGACUAGAUGAUGUUUCCUUUCCUGCCCAAUUUAUCUGGUUAAAACGUCUGAUACACUGUUGAAUAGAAGAGGCAAGGGCACAUGUUCAUGUCUUGUUCCUGAUAUUGGGAGAAAGCAUCCCGUUUUUCACCACAGAAACGGGGUUUCACCAUGUUAGCCAAGAUGGUCUCGAUCUCCUGACCUCGCGAUCCGCCCGCCUUGGCCUCCCAAAGUGCUGGGAUUAUGCAUUCUCUCUUUACAUCACAGUUCUGGAGAUCAGGAUGUGUGUACACCUUUUGGGGGGCCACCACUCAGCCCACUGGCGUGCGUGACAGCAAGUACCUGGGAAAGGUGAGGAAACAGAGUCUCCCCUGGGCCUGCAGAAGGAGCACAGCCCCGCCUGCCUCCAUCUUAGCCGGCUGAGACCCAGGUGAGUCUUCUGGCCCACAGAACUGUGAGAUCAUAGGUUUGUGUUGGUUUCGUUCACUAAGUUUGUGGUAAUUUGUUACAGCAACAAUACAAAUUAAGACACUGUGUGCUGGCAGCUGGCAAUGCCCUAGACAGAGGCUGCCGCUUCGCCUGAAUGUGGUACUAGCCCUGAGAGAGGCAGAGCUAGGCAGGGGCCACGCGGCGGAGUUUCCGGUUGCAGACUGCGGGCACUGAGGCGUUUGGGACUGCAGCCUGCCUUAGUCUGUCCUGCAUAAUGAACACCUCUUUCGUUUUUAGCCUUUAUAAAGCUGAAAAGUUUAAAAAAUAAAACAAACAAACCACACAAGGUAUUUGAAAACAGGUAGAAAUAAGUUUUUAAAUGGCUCUCCUACUUGUCCUUAGACAUUGGAUUGAUGUCUUAAUCAUUUUGUUCUUUGAUUUUCAUUUUAGUUUGUAGAACGGAAAUGAAAAUAACAACUGAAUUUUCAGUUAUGUUUAAGCUUAACAUUUUCGUGGGACUCUUAUUAUGCGAGCUGUUACUAAUCGUUCCUCCCAGAUGCUGAGUUACUCUCUACGCUUUUCGUGUGGAAAUCAGGGCUGCCUAGUUUAUUCUCUUCAUUUCGCUCUCAUGGUCCAUGGCAUUAUUAUAUUACUAGUCAGCAGGAGCUUGUCAAUUUGUGCUUAUUCUACCUAUGAAGGCAAAGAUUCUGCACAGAAUAAAGUAACUCCUCUCUGCAUUUUUCCUUACAUGCAUAAAUAUUCUUGGAGCAAAGCCAACAGAACAGCAUGAUUAUUACCCGAUCGAUUCCGUUUUGAGUAUCUGCUAUCAUACUCCUAUUGGGCUUCUGUGAAACAUUAUAGAGUCUCAAAUUCACUAAAUAUCUCUUUGUUUUCAUAAUCCUUAGAGUUACUUUUCUUUUUGAUUUAAACUUCAGGAUCACUUCCCAAGGCAAGGCAAACUAUAUGUGAUAAGCCAUUAUUAUGGCCCCUCACACAUGUAAGAUUAUUCAAUCAGUCCAUUCCUUGCAACUCAGAAUGAAAUUUCUACUGUCAUUCCAAAAAAUCUACAUUAUCGAGGACUCAAUAAAAAUAUCACUGAAUGCAAAAAUAGGGAAUUUGCAAUAUUCCCCCUAUAAAACACAUGUACUCUUCCCUUUACUGGAACUUUUUUGAUAUGCUCCUGUGAAAAAAAAAGAAAUCACAUAUAUUAAUUACUGUAGCUUUUCUAACUAUUUCGGCAGGAUGGUAUAUACCAAAGAUAAUCGAUAAUUUAGAUGACAUUGAUUUUUUUAAAAACCUGUAAAAGCAUAUUUAUUUUCCCAAAGCUUUUAAUGCUAUGGCCACAAUUCUGAAGCAUUCACUGAUCUUUUCAAUGAAUAUUUUGAGUUUAUGUGUGGGCAUUCAGACAUACAUUUAGAUGAAAAAGAAGUAUUGAUAUUAUUCUAACUCCUUUGAAAAGUAAAUGUGAUUUUUUUGCAUAAUAUAUAUUCAGACGU
rnacentral:lncRNA from 1 species